rnacentral:lncRNA from 1 species
AAGAAAUUGGUGACAUUACUGAACUUACAGAAGUAAAGGUAACUUGCAGUUCACGCUUGUUGUUAGAUUAGUGAAUUUUUUUUUAAAGUAUUUAGAAAAAUACCAUAUCAAAUAUGGUAGAAGCUGGUGAUUCAGUUCCAGAUGUUUUGUUUAGUCAAAUUAAUGCUUGCUCAAGGUGGUGAUCGGGCAGAGACGUUCACCAGGCAAAAUGCUUAGCAACAUUUCAUCUAUCUUUGCAUUCUAAGUUCAAAUUCUGCUGAGGUUAACCUCAUCUUUCAUCCUUUUGGGGGGUCAAUGUAAUUGACUUACCUCCUUCCCCAAAAUUACUGGCCUUGUGCCAUAAAAUGAAAUUUAUACUUGUCCAAUCAACAAUAAAGUAUUAAGAAAACUGGUUAGGAAAUAUUUACAAAUAUUUGGUCUAGAUGGCUGGUGAUUGAUUGAUUGAUUGAUUGAUUGAUUCUAGUUUCAGAUUUGGCUUUCACAAAAAGUUGAGAUGAAAAAGAUAUUUGAUAAGAUAUAAAUUGUUAGAUUUAAAAUUAGAAUUUAUUAUUUGUAUUUUUUUUUUUUUAAACUUUGAAAGUAAGUUUCUUCUGUUGUCAGGUAAGCGAGUAUUGUCUGCCUCAGUUCACUUAGCUAAACACUGUGGUAAACUUGCAUUCUAUCUCAUCCACUCACUACUACAGAAACCAAGAAUUAAAUACCUGCAAAGAAAACUCAAGAUCUGUUGAAGAAUUAAUUUCAGAGAAAUGCUGUGUCAUAUUCUUAUGUGAUGGAGAUGUUUGUGAGUAGGACGACAUGUCCAAGAAUGUUUGUAGUGUCUUGUGUGGCAGAAUUGAAAGACUGACAUGUUAGCAUUUGAAUAUCAAAAAAAUUUCAGAACAUUCGUUUAAGCCUUAAUUCUAUUUCUUUUUUCUUCUUCUUUAUGUCAGCUGUCAGAACUGUGUCCCUUGGAUUUGGUCAUAGGUGGAUCUCCUUGUAAUGAUUUGUCUUUGGUUAAUCCUGCUCGCAAAGGAUUCUCUGAAGGUAUAGUUUACAUACUCUGUAUAUAUUGCUAUUGUUAAGUACCCAACCAGUAUGUACGUGAUUGCACACACGCACACACAUAUAAUCAUCAUCAUUUAAUGUUUGCUUUCCAUAGUGGCAUGGGUUAAACGGUUUGACUGGAACUGGUAAGCCAGAGGGCUGCACCAGGUUCCAGUCUGAUUUGGCAUGGUUUCUAUGGCUGGAUGCCCUUCCUAAUGCCAACCACUCCUAGAGUGUAACAGGUGCUUUCUAUGUGCCACCAGCAUGGGUGCCAUUUACUUGACAUUGACAAUGAAGACUACAAUUUCACUUAGUUUGACCAAGUUUUCCCAAGCACAACAUCCCCAAAGGUCUUGGUUACUUGUCAUCACCUCUGUUGUGCCUAACAUUCAAACAUCAUGCUUCACCACCUCAUCUCAUGUCUUCCUGGGUCUACCUUUUCCGCUGGUUCCCUCCACAGUUAGAGCUCGGCACUUCUUUAAACAGCUACCUUCUUCAUCCAUGUGCAUCACACAACCAUGCCAGUGCAUUCAUCUCUCUUGCACACCACAUCUAAUGCCUCUUAUGUCCCAUUUAUGCUGUCAUGUGCUCACUGAUAUUGCACAUCCAGCGAAACAUACUGGCUUCAUUUCUUUCAAGCUUUUGAAUGUCCUCUGCAGCCACAGCCCAUGUUUCACUACUGUGGGGCACAGCUGUUUACACACAGGCAUUAUACAAUCUGCCUUUCAUUCUGAAGGAGAGGCUGUUUGUUACCAACAGAAGUAGAUGCUCUCUGGGCUUUGCUCAGCUCAUUCUUAUUUUAGCAUCUACACUCUUGAAGCAUCCAUCUCCACUACUGACUUGGUUACCUUGAUAAUGGAAGCUAUCAACUACUUCUAGGUAUCCUUAAGGCAUUUGAUGGAGUCUUAUUUUCUGUACAUUUCUGAUGCUGCUACACCAGUCAUUGGGUAUGACUACCACGCAUCACAGGACCAUACCAGCACAAUCGUCCCUCUUGCACACCAUAUCUGAUGCCUGUUAUGCCCAGCUUUUCUCUCACGAUGCUUACACUGUCAUACAUGCACACUCACAUUGCACAUCCAGCAAAGCACACUAAUUUCAUUGCUUUCAAGUCUACACAUGUCCUGUGCAGCCACAGUCCCUGCUUCACUGCUGUUAACAUACAAGCAUCAUACAGUUUGCCUUUCACACUGAGGGAGAGACCCUUUGUUGCCAACAGAAGUAGGAGCUCUCUGAACGUUGCCCAGCCUAUUCUUAUUCUAGCAGCUACACUCUCAGAACAUCCACCACUACUACUGACCUGGCCACCGAGAUAACAGAAGCUAUCAACUACUUUUAGGUAACCCACCCCCCUGGCAUUUGAUGGAGAUAUUGCUGCACCUCUUAUGUAUCCAUAGCUUACUCUGCAUAUAUCUUAUGGAAUUUCUACCUAUGCCUUUUCUACAGAUUGAGCAGGGCCAUCUACCUGAGGGGAUUUGUGGUUUGUCUGCUUUCCUACUUAUUAAGACUUUGGUUUUUGCUAGGUUAUCUCUAAUGCCUAUAAUUACUAGACUCCUGAAACUUCUCUAGUUCUGGUAGUGAUUCAGCAAUAAGAACGAGAUCAUCAGCAUAGAGGAGUUCCCAGGGGCAGCCCGUUUUAAAUUCCUCUGUUACUGCUGGAGGACCAUGAUGAACACGAGGGGAUGAGGACUGAUCUUUGGUGAACCCCUAUUUGUACCCUGAAUUCUUUGCUAUACUCAUUGCCAACCUUCACCUUACAGACAACAUCCCUGUACAUGGCUUGUACAGCUCUCGCCAACAGCAUGCCUGUCACUAGUUUCUGCAUUGACCACCAGAUAAGUGAUUGGGGGAGCCUGUCAAAGGCUUUCUCCAAGUCAACAAAAGCCUAGCACAGAGGCUUAUCUUUGGCUAGGUAUUUCUCCUGCAGCUGCCUUACCAGAAAUAUAGCAUCAGCGGUGCUUCUCUCUGGCAUAAAAGCAAACUGCAUCUCAUCUAGACUAACUCUCUCCCUAAUUAGUUGGGCUGUGACUCUCUCCAUAACUUUCAUCACCCGAUCCAACAAUCUGAUACCCGUGUAAUUAUUUCUAUCCAAGGCAUCACCUUUCCAUUUGUUCACUAUGGUGCUGCUAUACCAGUCAUUCGGUAUAGCUCCUUCAUGUACAACUUGAUUAACUAUACCGGUGACUAGAGCAUAACCCAUACCACCAGAUCUUUUAACCAUUUCAGUGGUUAUUCCAGAUGGGCCAGGGGCUUUUCCAAUCUUCAUAUCCUUCAUGGCUUUGUCUACCAUGCUACUGUCUAUUUGAAUUACUGGUCCCUCUGUUGGAUCCUUACUAGGCAGACUCUCCUCCCUCUCCCAUGAGUUCUCCACAUUUAAUUGCGUUUGUUAGUGGCACUUUCAAAUCUCCUUCUUUGCAGGGUCACUAACUGCCAGUGACCCAUCAUCCAUGUGGAGACAUUUCUCUCCUAUCACAUCACGAUUUUCUCUGACAUACUGUCUUGCAAUCAUUCCUCUCCUACCACAUCACAGUUUAAAACAAUUUACAAACCAUUCACUCCAGUUCAGGGAACCACACUCUUCUGAAGUCACCCAUUCAUACUUUAAACAAUGUUUUUGUGUGAUAUUUGUACUUGUCAUUUCUUCCCCCCCCCACUUCUAUUCUAUCAUAAAGCAAAAUGCAACAAGCAUAACUAUUUGCUGCAGAGUUGGAUAGUUUGUGUCUGAUAAUGAAAGUGAUGUUUCUAUUAAAAACUUGUGAAGGAUGUAAAAAGUAGUUUUAUUAAAAUCACAGUCUUUUUGCUGAGUCAAAAACACGUGAUCGUUUCCUCUUAUUUCUAGCCUCAAUUAUUCCAGACAAUACAAAUAGAUAAGUGCUCCCCGUCCUAUUUAUCGUCUUACUAUUAUGACAUGUAAUAUAUCCCAAUAUGUCUCAGGUGAGAACAGUAUCAGCACAUAUCAUGUUCCUUCCUAUAUUAUUUCAACCAAUCACCUCCUUUUUAUGUCUUUAUCCGCUGUUCUCUCUCUCCACUCUGCCACAUGUUAAAUACUUUUCUUAUCUGCUAUCAUUCUCAAUAUCCUCUCAUAAGCCCCAUAUUUAUCCUUUCGGACAUCCAGCAAUAGAAACUAUAGCUAAGAUGACAUUGCAGCUUGCCAGUUCUGUUUCAAACUGGCCUGGAAAUGGGGACUAUUUCCAGUAUUAUGAAGGCUUUUGAAAUUAGUGAAUAAAUUCUGUUUUACAUGCAUUUUAGUUGGAUAAUGUAUACAAUUCCUCAGUAUUAAAAUUUCCUCAUCAUAUUUGGUGAUAUUUAAAUAAGUUGUCCUCCAAAAUAACCACAUUCAUGUCAGUAUAUAAAAAGUUGUUUUAUGGAACCAAUUUAAAUCUCUUUGAAAUAUGUAGGGAUGUAUUUUAAGCUCCAACAUAUAUUAAUAAAGUUAAAAUGUAUUUUUCAGCAUCUCUCUAAUUUUAUAAACAAACAGAUUCAGUCAAAAUAUUUUCUUUCCAGAGGGUACCGGUAUUUUAUUCUUUGAGUUUUGUCGGAUUCUGUCAAUUGUUCAAAGGUUGUGCAAAGAUCGACAUGUCUUUUGGCUUUAUGAAAAUGUUGCUGCAAUGAAAACCAGUUACAAAAAUAUAAUCUCCAGAUUCCUAGGUGUAAGUACUAAUUUCUAAAUUAAGAUGUUGAUUAAAUAUCUGUUUUCAUAUGUUUAGCACUGUGGUAGUUAGAUUAGAUAACUUAUAGAAUCCAACCAGUUAUAAAUUUUAAGGUUUAAGUAAAAUAUAGCAUGUACUUCUGUUUUACAGAAUGGUAUGAAUUAAAUUUUGUUGACUUCGAAUUGUUUUGCAAAUGAUAAGUGUCUUUGAAUGGUUUCAGAAAAAAUACUUAUUGAACAUGAAAAUAACGAUUUCUUUAUUGUUCCUUCAAGGGCAUUGAGUGACAGAAUAAUGUUACAAACUAUGCUUAUUUGAUAAAAAUGAAGGUAUUCAUAUGUGCUAGUUCCAAGUGGGGUUUUAAGAGAAUAGAUAACAUCUUUCUAUCUAGAUGUCUUUUCAGACAUAAUUACUUUCGAAAGAAUUAUGCAUGAAAGCCUAAACAGGAUAAACUUACAAUUAGAAUGUUAGACAGGGCAGUGAACUGACAGAAUAUCUUGUGGGUAUUUUCCUCAAAAUUGCUGGCCUUGUCAGACAUGCAUUUGCUGUUCAAGAAGAAAGACUAUUUUAAAAUGUUAUUCUCUGAAUUUUUAUAAGAUAUUCAGUUGUGUUGGUGCAUUCACAAGAUUUAAAUAUACAGUCAAAGGUUUUCAAGAUAUUUGAGUCCACUUAAUUUCAUGAUUUACUUGUAGUGUAAACCUGCUCUCUGGGAUGCAAAGUUUUUCUCAGCACAACACAGGCCCAGGUAUUUCUGGGGUAACUUACCAACAAUAUACAGGUAAGGUUGACAUUCAAUUUUGAAAUAACUGCAUAAUCUUUUAAGCUAUAAUUUAUAUUUUAACAAAUGAAAUUAAACUAGAUUGAGUAAAUAGGAGGUAUUACUAGUCAGAAAUAAUUUGAUGACUAUAUUUGAUACAAUGUCUUAGCUAUGACAAUUCUAUCAUUUAUAGUGAAUGUCAUUUUUUCAUUAUUCCCAGCAGAAGAGUAAAAUAAUUUGGCAAUUUAGUCACCAAUGAUUGUUUUCUGACAUUUUAUAUAGAUAUUCCUUUGCAAUAAAAAAUAUUCUGAUGUAUAAAUGAGGAGUAAUUUCAUCAUAUUGACUUGCUUAGGAUAGUUUAUAUAGAGACGAAAACUGCAGUAAUGCUAAAGUAAUACUGGCCAGCUCAAUUCAAACUAAACCAAAAGUAUAUAUAAAAUUCACAAUGUCUUAUCUGUAUGUUUAGUGUCAGUUUAUCAUUUAAAGACUUCUUCAAUAAUUAUUUAUUUAAUGUAAACAUUUUCUUCCAGUUCACAGCCAACAACUGAAGAUGAUUCUCUUUACUUAGAUAAAAUUCUUUCACCAAACUGCAACAGAAAGGCUAGAGUAAGUUGGUUCGAUUUUCUAUACCUAGACAAUAGCUGUCUUGAGAAGUAUGAUUCACAACCUAUCAUAUCUGUAUGUUUGAAACAACAGUAUUGUCUCAAAAAUGCCAGUUAAUAAAUAUCGAUUCAUUAACUAAAUACCAGAAAGGAAAUAUAUACUGUUGAUAUGUUUGUGGUGCAUGGCUACAAUCCAUUAACUUAUAACAGUAAAGGAAGACUAAUACAUCAUUUAGGCAUUGUAAAAUAUCAAUGUAUUUUGUCAUCAGGUGAAACAGCUACGGACAGUGACAACAAGAAGUAACUCACUCAGACAGGGAAAAAAUGAAAAUAUUUUGCCAGUUGAAAUGGAUGGAGAAGAAGACGCUAUUUGGAUUACAGAAUUGGAAAAGUAAGUCUUUUCUGCUUAUUACGGUGAAAUAAAUUUCUACAAAUAUUUUGGUUCUUAGUUGCUGAACCUGCAGGAAAGAACUACACUCUUUAAACCUAUGGGGAAAAAUAUGGCAUAGAGGACACAAGGGUGAAAAUAGAGUAAUUGACUUCUCACCUUUUCAGAUAAAGGUGUAAUUAUUGUGUUUGAUAAAAAGGUAGUUGUCUAGCCCCAUGACCAAAGCUAUUUCAGCUGUGAUCAUCUGAUCCACUUGGAUUACAUAUCCCCCCCCCCACGACGACGACCAACUAAAGCCAACAGUUUAGCAGUUUUGCAAUUUGGCAACUAACCUUUUGGCC